CCUACGGGAGGCAGCAGUGAGGAAUAUUGGUCAAUGGACGCAAGUCUGAACCAGCCAUGCCGCGUGCAGGAUGACGGCUCUAUGAGUUGUAAACUGCUUUUAUACGGGAGUAAACGCAGACACGUGUACCUGUCUGAAAGUACCUUACGAAUAAGGAUCGGCUAACUCCGUGCCAUCAGCCGCGGUAAUACGGAGGAUUCAAGCGUUAUCCGGAUUUAUUGGGUUUAAAGGGAGCGUAGGAGGGCGGGUAAGUUAGUGGUGAAAUCCUGAGGAUCAACUGGGGAAUUGCCAUUGAUACUGGUAGGCUAGAGAAGAGGUGAGGUAGGCGGAAUGUGUGGUGUAGCGGUGAAAUGCAUAGAUAUCACGAAGAACUCCGAUUGCGAAGGCAGCUUACCGGACCGUGACUGACGCUGAUGCACGAAAGGGUGGGUAUCAAACAGGAUGAGAUACCCUAGUAGUC
rnacentral:rRNA from 1 species